AAUAAUAAUAAUAAUAAUAAAAGGAAAACUAGAUGUACGGGUCAAAUAGAAGAACAUGGAUCACAUUUAUUAAACCCGACCCGGCCAUGCACAUUCAUCCAAGCCA